rnacentral:rRNA from 1 species
AACGAACGCUGGCGGCAUGCCUAACACAUGCAAGUCGAACGAGACCUUCGGGUCUAGUGGCGCACGGGUGCGUAACGCGUGGGAACCUGCACUUAGGUUCGGAAUAACUCCCCGAAAGGGGUGCUAAUACCGGAUAAUGUCUUCGGACCAAAGAUUUAUUGCCUUUGGAUGGGCCCGCGUUGGAUUAGCUAGUUGGUAGGGUAAAAGCCUACUACGGCGACGAUUCAUAGCUGGUCUGAGAGGAUGAUCAGACACACUGGGACUGAGACACGGCCCAGACUCCUACGGGAGGCAGCAGUGGGGAAUAUUGGACAGUGGGCGAAAGCCUGAUCCAGCAAUGCCGCGUGAGUGAUGAAGGCUUGAGGGUUGUAAAGCUCUUUUACCCGGGAUGAUAAUGACAGUACCGGGAGAAUAAGCUCCGGCUAACUCCGUG